CUUCCGGGUGAAAGAUUUUCCACAUUUUCUACAUUCAUGUGGUCUCUCUCCUGUGUAUGUUCUCUGAUGCAUAUUGAGGGUUGACUUCUGCCUGAAACAAUUUCCAUAUCUGCUGCAUUCAUAAGGCUUCUCUCCUGUGUGUAUUCUAUGAUGAACACUGAGCCAUGCCUUCUGGGUGAAAGACUUUUCACAUUUGUUACAUUUAUAAGGUUUCUCACCUGUAUGCAUUCUCUUAUGCAUGCUGAGUGAUGACUUCUGGGUGAAGAAUUUCUCACACUAGUUACAUUCAUAAGGUUUCUCACCUGUGUGUGUUUUCUGAUGAGUGGUAAGGCUUGACUUCCGGGUGAAAGUGUUUCCACAUCGGUUACAUUUAUACGGUUUCUCUCCUGUGUGAAUUUUCUUAUUUGUCAUGAGUGAUGACUUACGAUUGAAGGACUUUCCACAUUUGUUACAUUCAUAAGGUUUCUCUCCUGUGUGAAUUCU